UGGGGAAUAUUGGGCAAUGGGCGCAAGCCUGACCCAGCAACGCCGCGUGAAGGAAGAAGGCCCUCGGGUUGUAAACUUCUUUUAUCAGGGACGAAGAAAGUGACGGUACCUGAUGAAUAAGCCACGGCUAACUACGUGCCAGCAGCCGCGGUAAUACGUAGGUGGCAAGCGUUAUCCGGAUUUACUGGGUGUAAAGGGCGUGUAGGCGGGAGAGCAAGUCAGACGUGAAAUUCCAGGGCUCAACCCUGGAACUGCGUUUGAAACUGUUCUUCUUGAGUGAUGGAGAGGCAGGCGGAAUUCCGUGUGUAGCGGUGAAAUGCGUAGAUAUACGGAGGAACACCAGUGGCGAAGGCGGCCUGCUGGACAUUAACUGACGCUGAGGCGCGAAAGCGUGGGGAGCAAACAGGAUUAGAUACC
rnacentral:rRNA from 1 species